rnacentral:rRNA from 1 species
CGUGAGGAACCUGCCUUGGAGUGGGGAAUAACAGCUGGAAACAGCUGCUAAUACCGCAUAAUAUAUCUGGGCCGCAUGGCUCUGGAUAUCAAAGAUUUAUCGCUCCGAGAUGGACUCGCGUCUGAUUAGCUGGUUGGCGGGGUAACGGCCCACCAAGGCGACGAUCAGUAGCCGGACUGAGAGGUUGGCCGGCCACAUUGGGACUGAGACACGGCCCAGACUCCUACGGGAGGCAGCAG